rnacentral:rRNA from 1 species
GACAGAGGGUGCAAACGUUGUUCGGAAUUACUGGGCGUAAAGCGCGUGUAGGCGGUCCGGCAAGUCGGAUGUGAAAGCCCUGGGCUCAACCCAGGAAGUGCAUUCGAUACUGCCGGACUUGAGUCCCGGAGAGGGUGGUGGAACUCUCGGUGUAGAGGUGAAAUUCGUAGAUAUCGAGAAGAACACCUGUGGCGAAGGCGGCCACCUGGACGGUGACUGACGCUGAGACGCGAAAGCGUGGGGAGCAAACAGG